rnacentral:rRNA from 1 species
AUACGGAGGACGCGAGCGUUAUCCGGAUUCAUUGGGUUUAAAGGGUGCGCAGGCGGCCGUGCAAGUCAGCGGUGAAAGCCCGGGGCUCAACCCCGGAAGUGCCGUUGAUACUGCAUGGCUGGAAUGCGGUCGAGGCGGGCGGAACGUGGCGUGUGGCGGUGAAAUGCGUAGAUAUGCCACAGAACGCCGAUAGCGGAGGCAGCUCGCCAGGCCUGCAUUGACGCUCGGGCACGAAAGCGUGGGGAUCGAACAGGAUUAGAUCCCCUGGUAGUCCACGCCGUAAACGAUGGGCGCUCGUCGUCGGCGGCAGACAGUCGGCGGCCAAGCGAAAGCGAUAAGCGCCCCACCUGGGGAGUACGGUCGCAAGGCUGAAACUC